GUUUAAAAGUGGCGUUCCUCACACCAGGGAGCUUGAAAGAGCUUCUUAAACAGUGAAGAAGAAAACUUCUUAUAGGCCCAGAACUUUAGAGCAGGCUGCCCCUUUAAAAGGGUCGCCUGGAUAUUAAAGGGAAACAGGUCCUGGGAGGGACCCAUUUCCCCAGGUCCCGGGCUCUGUGUGCCACGCAACUGCUGAAAGUGUGAGGGGCUUUACGGUGGACUCUCCCCUUUUGGAUGCGCCCCACACCCCACAUGGCCUCUGCCAGUCCUUCAAGGGCCCGUCCGGCGGUUGCUACAAGAACGUUUAUCCAACCAACCCCCUGCAUCUCCAGGGCACCCGCCCCAGGGUCACGCCAGGCUUGUCAUGCAUCUGCAUUGGCCCCACCUGGCACUGUCGAGAUGGCACAGCUAAGGCAGCUACCAGACUAGAGAGCAAGGGUCGGGACAUUGGUCCAUUUCCCCACCUGGAAAAUGGGGACAAUAUUCCCCCAAAUUCAAUACUCACAAUUUUUAUAGAAAUUUGGCCACAUAUCAAUUCAAGACACAUACUUAAUUAGGGUAUCUUUCUUUCUUUCCUUAAAUUAUUGUUAUUAAAGCAGUGUUGGGUCUCCCAGUGAAAGAUGUGUUAGAACUGAGAAAAUUCAGAAUAGCCACUCUCGUGAGGUUGUUCUGUAGAUUAAAUGGCAGAAAACAGCACAAGGGCAGGCACGUGCUGAGCUCUUGUGAACACUGGCCAUCACCAUUGAAACCGCAGUGAGUCUGGUUGAGCCCUUGGUGAACAUUGGCCAUCACCAUUGGAACCGCAGUGAGUCUGGUUGAGCCCCUGUGAACAUCGGCCAUCACCAUUGGAACUCCAGUGAGUCUGGUUGAGCCCCUGUGAACAUCGGACAUCACCAUUGGAACUCCAGUGAGUCUGGUUGAGCCCCUGUGAACAUCGGCCAUCACCAUUGGAACUCCAGUGAGUCUGGUUGAGCCCCUGUGAACAUCGGCCAUCACCAUUGGAACCGCAGUGAGUCUGGUUGAGCCCUUGGUGAACAUUGGCCAUCACCAUUGGAACUGCAG
rnacentral:lncRNA from 10 species